CAGAGAACUACAGACUCUUCAGAACCUGCUCAAACUCUUGGUACAGGACCUCACCACAUGGGUCAAGAAGGUUUCCGUCUCAUUUCUACUCUGAAGCUCACCUUCUCCUGCUCAAACUGCUGACAAAUGUUUCUGCUGCUCUAAAGUCUGGUCUCCAGAACUUCCUGAAAACUCUCAAAGGCUCUUCUGCUGCAGGUUGCUUUGUAGAACUGUUCCAGAAAACCUCACUAAACCACAUGGAGGGGCCUCAAGAUAGUCGUCCAAAUGAAACCAUACAAAAACCAAACUAGCACAACCCAAACACUAAAGUCUCCUGCAGCCUACUAGAGAACCUCUGAGAACAGAGAAUCAGGACAGGAACUCUUACCUUCUGGACAACCAACAUUGGUUCUCAAACAAGAAUACAGAAUGUGUCUGACCAAAAACCUCUAAAGACUUACUACAGCCAAGAUAAAGACACAACUCAGCUGCACCAAAUCCACUAAUCACUGCACACAUUAGCACCAUGUGCUAACUGUGGCUAAAGAACCACAUUUACCAAGACAACUAUCCAGUACAAAGCCCUAAAACACACCAAGAAACACAUUAAAGACGAUUUUACUGCUGGAAGCUGCAAGCCAACGCCUAAAGAACAAACUAAAGCAAAGGAGCCAAACCCGGUUCAGUGGUGAAGAGAAACAGAGGAAAUGUUUGUCUGCAGCUAAAUAAAGCAGGAAGACACUGAGCUGCUCAGGUGUUCCUGAUAACACUGAGCUGCUCAGGUGUUCCUGAUAACACCAAGCAGCCACCUGGACAGCCAAUAGGAACACAGCUUACUGGAAGUCCAGAGGGCUGGGUUAGUGAAGGAAAUUUAGUUUAAAGUUGAAGCAGAAAGUUAACAAAGAAAGUUGAAAACCACCUUCUGAUACCUGAAAUCUCUGAGUUUUCACACAAAGAACGCCUGAACAUGUCAAACUGGUUUCAUAGUAGAACCAUCAUUGUAAAAACGUCAUAGUAUGGUGUGUUGCUCAAAAAACAUUAGGACCCGGCUGUCAGGGGACAAACAUGUAAGAAACAUGAGAACAGAGAGAACCCAACCAGUAGGUCACAGUUUAUCAUCCCCCAGUCAUCUCCUGAAGUCCAUAUGGUGAGAGACAUCAGUAUCUGGUUGUUAAUUUACCAGAGGAUGCUUAUAAUCAUGUUGAUGUGGUCUGUACUCUACAGUAUUUUAGUGACUCAAUAAAUGCCUAAGUCAACCCGCCCGGCCAGCAGGCAGAUGGGUCCCCCCACAUUAGAGCCGGGUUCUGCUCGAGGUUUUUUUCCCUGUUAAAAGGGUGUUUUCCUUGCCACUGUCGCCUUUUGGCUUGUUCUGGGGGUCAGGCAUAUGGGUUCUGUAAAGCGUCUUGAGACAAUUUGACUAAUUGGCGCAAUAUAAAUAAAAUUGAAUUGAAUUGUUUUAUUUAAAAUGCUUUUUAGUUUUUAAUAAACAUUUAAUAGCCUAUAUGUGAUCAAUAAAUGGCCUUUGCCUAUCUUAAGAAAAAUUCACUCAGAACUCUAUGUGAACAGUACUAAAUAAAUCAAUAAAUACAUGCAUACACACAAAAAUAAGUUAAUACAUUAACUGUGUUAAGAUAAGAUUUAGAUUUACAAAAAAAGUUGUUUCAUGUUUUUGCAGAAUCCAGUAUUGCUCACUGGUUGGUCAUUACAUUUUGUUAGUUUGAUUUCACUGUUUAAAAUGAUGCCACCUCUUUUCAGACAGAACCUGUGAUAAUAAAACAAUACAAAAUUUUUAGUUCCUUGUUAGUAAAGCACUUAAAGCUUUAAGUAUGGCUAAAUGCUUUUUUCAAAAUUAUAUCUAUCACUCCUUAGGUCAGACCUGGGCAUCCUACGGCCCGCGGGCCACAUCCGGCCCGCCGGACGACCCUGAGUGGCCCGUAUGAGGUCAUUGGAAAAUAUUAAAAGUCAAUGCAAAUAUGUAUCAUCACAAUACAUGCAAGCAAUACGCCCGCACUGCUUUUAUUUUGAAAGAUCUGCUAAGUUAACGUUUUUUCGCGUGCUUUCCGUACUAAGCAUAAGGUUUAUGCGAUGAUUGGUUUGUUGGUCAGCUUCAAACCGGGAAGAUGUCGGCGAAUGGCAAAAAAAGAAAGAUCGAUUCCGAAUGCAGAGGUUUUAACAAGACAUGGACUUCCAAGUAUUUCUUCACUGAAGUCAGAGGUAAAUGUGUGUGCCUAGUUUGUGGCGAACAGAUCGUGGUGCUCAAGGAUUAUAAUCUGAAUCGACAUUACGAGACCAAACAUGGCGGAGAAGUACAAACAUUUGACUGAUGCAGAGCGGGGAGGAUGUCUGAAGGUUUGCUAGCUAAACUGCUAAAGCAACAAUGACUUUGUUUUACCAAAGCUCACAUCAAGGGAUGCAGCAGUCAAGACGAGUUUUCUAAUAUCCUACAAAAUCGCCAAAAACAGUAAGCUAUUCUCUGAUGGAGAGUUUAUAAAAGAAUGUCUGGUGAGCUCUGCAGCGUUUAUAUGCCCGGAGAAAAAAAGAAGCGUUCGUUAAUGUGACCCUUAGGAGGCGAACCGUAACGAGGCGGGUGGAGAGCAGCGCCGAAAAUCUGGAGCCUCAGCUGCGCUACAAAGUGGACGAUUUUGACGUUUUCUCCUUGGCUCUGGACGAGAGCUGUGAUGUCCGUGACACAGCCCAGUUACUCAUCUUUGUACGUCGACUCAGGGGCGUACCUACCAUUAGGCAAACACAGGCAAUUGCCUUGGGCCCCGAGAUUUCCAGGGGCCCCCAAACGUCUCAUAAAAUCUGAAUAAUAAACGCUUCUUUGAUUUGAAACAAAUACUUUUUUCUUGUCUUAAUUUGUGAGCUUGAAAAUACAUUAAAAUGGUUGGUCUAUCACUGUCAUGAUCGUUCUCCCCCCUCAUUUCUCACACAAUGGACUAUUCCACGUUACUGCGCAUGUGCAGGCUUAAUUCAGGAAGACGGCAGCAAAACAAACUUGUUGGCGCGGUUUUGAGAGGUGAGCGGUGAGCAAGAUGAAGCGGAGUUAUCCCAGUGGAGCAGAGAAGAGAAGGCGAGAGGAAAACCAACAGUUUUUAUCAAAACUGCCAAAGUAACACAGCGUGCAGGGAACUCCAGGCUGAACCUGCUCCUGCUGCCACACUGAAGACAUGUUGAGGUACGCCCCUGCGUGGACUAACAAAAAAACUUUGAGAUGACGGAGGAGCUGGCAGCUGUGCAGCCAAUGAAGGGACCACGCCGAUGGUUUCACAACUAGCUGCCCUCACCCUCAGCCUCGCCGAGCUCUGCCGCAGAGGAACCAGAUAUCACCCGUGCCCAGACCACUCUGUCAGUCUGCCGGGGCAAGCCUGCUCACACCACCCACUCCCAU